UGUGCCCUACUGUGAUAGAUUUUCCAAACAAAAGUACCUGGAGCAGCAGUUUAGCAAAAUAUGCCCUCAGUGGCACUCAACAAAUGGAGUUUCCCCAAGCACAGUUCUGUAAGAAGUGUGUGUGAGAGUGUGUGUAUAUGUAUGUGUGUGUGUUUUAAGUUAUUAUUUGUAUUGUGCAAAUUUUUUUGAUCUUGGGGAUUCUGGCUGUGAAUUUGAUGCACGACAAUUAUGGUUAAAAACAUUUGCUUGGUCUACAGAAGAUCAUUAAUGUUUUGUGACCAUAUAAGUUGUAACGGUGGAUUGUUUUAUGUUGUAGGUAUUAUUGUUAAAUACAGGGACUGUUUCCAGGCACAGAAUAUGAAUCAUAAGUUAGGAUGGACAUUAGAUGUGAUUAUGACAAUAUAGCAAAGGUCUGUGGUCCUAGGUCUACAAAUGCUUGGUGAGGAAUUAGGACAAACUGGAGACGGGCCGUUUGACACAUGGACUCUGCCUAGCCGUGUUGAAAAAUACUUUGACUCCAAGCCUUAAAAUACCCACGUGGAGUCUGUGCUCACCUCAUUCACACAGAGAGCUCCCAGGACACUGAACCUCUAGAAAGAAAAGGUCUCCCUGGAGCAGGAGCAUCAGGGUUUGCUUGGGAGCACAACACAGGUGAGCGUGGGGCUGGGCCAGCCCCUGGUGGCACUGCUACUUGGGAGGAGCCACUUCGCCUUUUAUCGGUUAUUAAAAGCAGAAUUUGGAUCCUUUGGUCAGGCUCCCCCAAAUUCUUUUUAAGAAGUGACCAUGUUCAACUGCUUGAGCUUUGUUUUGGCAACCCCCUGCCCAAAGUUGCUUACAGACUGUUCUUCACCUUGUUCCAAGGCUGUGGAACAGAAAGUAGCCUCUGUUUUGAGGAGGUGGAAGUUAAGUAUACAUUUAUUUUUUACUGUGACUUGUUCAGGACCACAUUUUACAAAAUGCCUUGUUUCCUUUAUUAUUGUUUCUGGAAAGGAAAGUUCUAUUAAAAUUGUUUUAGUUUGAAUAUAGAAUAGUUUUAUUAAUUAGGGCUUAUUUUGAAAAAUUCUGAGUUUAAUUCAAGUGUAUGCCAGUACCUUCCAAAGUAAGGUAAUAUUCAGAGACAGUUGUUCUGAUCAGAUGGCUUAGAGAAAUUCUGGAAUAUUCAUAUUCGAAGAUUCCUUAUUAAUGAAUGUCUUUGACUUAAAUCUAACCAAAAACUGCAACAUUAUUCUUUGUACAUUUUCAUUAUAUAGUGUUAACAAGCUUAGUUGCAAACAAAUAAAAUACUUAAGCUAUUUGUUUACCUUGCCUUCUUAAUACUGUGAUAAUGUUUAUUAAUUCAAAUAAUAUAUGUGAGGCUGCUAUAACCAUUUCCCCGGUAAAACAUUACAUUUAAGAUUUAUAGACUUUUUAAAAAGCCCAUCAGUGAUCUUUAAAUAUUAAAGAAUUAUUUCACUUCAUAUUUGAAGGGUAGUUUGUUUCAUCUCUUCCUUCUCCAGGGUAGUCACUUGUUCCUGUAAGAGGAUCUAGCGGUGGAUGUCAUGGGAGUGGCCUUACAAUGGGAUAGUCACACCAAAACAAGGAAGGACUGCUGUGGGGGCUAUCAGAAGUCCUGAAGGAGGGAUCAGGAAUGGGGACUGCUGCUGCAUUGAUGUCUUGUUACAGAAUCAGUGUGACGUGGGGCAGAUGUCAGCCCCAUUCCUACUAAAUGGCUUCUGGCUUGGAGGUAGAGUAGGUUUCUGUAAGGGAAAUGAUAGACACUCUGUUACUGUACCUGGUGUUGUUAGGCUGUUAUGAUAUAGUUGCCCUUUGGGGCCAUCGGGUAAAUAAGACCACACACACACCACCACGGCUGGGUUUUGGAAUCUUCCUCAAAAGGUACUAGACAUGUUUGUUUAGUGUUUUAUCUGGAGAAGAGACAGUUCGUAGGACAGAAAAUGGGGACCUAUAAUGUAGGUCUUAGACUACAAAAGGAGUUUUCCCUUGAUUUCUAGAGCUCAAACUUAGGGGCAUUCCCAGGUUGGGAAUUGUCUUUGUUCCAUGGAGGUAGGUCAAAACCCAGAGAAGUAGUCAACCUGCAGAAACCCAUAAGGAUAGGCCAGGACCUGUGGUCUUAGAACAGCUAUAUCUACCAUCUUAGUUUUAAUUUUUUGUUUAAGUAAUAUUAUCCUCUUUUGGUAAAAUCUUAAGGGGAGUGAAGGGAGUUAGGUAUUCAUGCUUAGGUCAGAGGAGUAUAGGGGAAAUCAAAGUUUCUGAGGCAGAUAAUUGUUAAGAGCUCCACAAGAACAACAUCAAGAAAUAUAAGAAUUUGGCCAGCCUCUUACACAUGGUCAAUCUUCUCUGCCCGCCAGGGAGGAUGGGUUGGCUGUGUAGUAGUUAAAGGAAUGGCCUUUGGAUGUGUGUAGCCCCGGAGUUUAAUUUGCUACGUGAGCCUUGCCAAGAUACUGAAAUUUGUGAGCCAUAAUUUUCUUGUCUGUAAAAUGAGGGUUAAUUGUAUGUACAUCACUGGGUUUUGUUUUCAAGUGCAAGAUUAGCCCACAUAAAGUAGCACAGCCUGAGACAUAAAGUACACAUUUGACACUGUUCUAUAGCAGGUUUUUUCACAGUGGUCUUCAUUAGAUCUGAAGACCAAAGCGUUCCUUUCUGCAGCAGCAUUUCUCAACUUUCCAGUAUGAAUACCCCUUUGUUAACAUCAAAAUCUCACGUUCUCUAAUUAGAAUUUGUACUUUUAAGUGUUCGACUAAGAAAAUAAUAAAAGAUGAAUAACCAAUGAAUUCAGUAAUGCCUUUCAGUGAACCUGUAUUUUGUUAUUCACUAUAGCGGGGGUCAGCAAAUUAAGGCCUGGUUUUGUAAAUAAAGUUAUAUUGAAACACUGCCACAGCUAUUUGUUUGCGUCUGGGCUGCUUCACAGUUGGCAACUCCAGAAACAGGUAGUAUGGGCCACCGAGUUAAAAAUACUCUGGCCCUUCCCACAAAAGUUUGUGCGCCCUGGCCCUGCAGCAUUGAUAAACAUACAAAAACUCACAAACAGGCAAACUCAGUACAUCGUGGAUUGGUGGACAAGAAUGUUAAUUUGUCAGGGUGCCUGGGUGGCUCAGUGGGUUAAGCCUCUGCCUUCAGCUCA